rnacentral:rRNA from 1 species
CCUACGGGUGGCAGCAGUGGGGAAUAUUGGACAAUGGGCGAAAGCCUGAUCCAGCCAUGCCGCGUGUGUGAAGAAGGCCUUCGGGUUGUAAAGCACUUUCAGUGGGGAAGAAAGCCUUGGGGCUAAUACCCUCGAGGAAGGACAUCACCCACAGAAGAAGCACCGGCUAACUCCGUGCCAGCAGCCGCGGUAAUACGGAGGGUGCGAGCGUUAAUCGGAAUUACUGGGCGUAAAGCGCGCGUAGGCGGUCUGAUAAGCCGGUUGUGAAAGCCCCGGGCUCAACCUGGGAACGGCAUCCGGAACUGUCAGGCUAGAGUGCAGGAGAGGAAGGUAGAAUUCCCGGUGUAGCGGUGAAAUGCGUAGAGAUCGGGAGGAAUACCAGUGGCGAAGGCGGCCUUCUGGACUGACACUGACGCUGAGGUGCGAAAGCGUGGGUAGCAAACAGGAUUAGAUACCGAGUAUC